rnacentral:lncRNA from 1 species
GUGGUUUUUCAAUGGGUUUGGGAAAAAAAAAAACAAAUAUUUUAUUUUUGGCCUUAGGAACUCACCUUCAAUGUGGGCUUCGUUUUACAUAAAGUACCAUCCACCUUGAAAUUGAGAUGGUUUAUGUCAGAGAUCAAUUUCGGACAAGUCCCAGUUUUUACUUCUAUAGAUAAUAGAGACGGCAUAUUCUCGUGCCAGAUGUUUAAAGUGCUGUCUUCAUCAAUUUG